rnacentral:rRNA from 1 species
UACGAAGGGGGCUAGCGUUGCUCGGAAUCACUGGGCGUAAAGGGUGCGUAGGCGGGUCUUUUAAGUCAGGGGUGAAAUCCUGGAGCUCAACUCCAGAACUGCCUUUGAUACUGAAGAUCUUGAGUUCGGGAGAGGUGAGUGGAACUGCGAGUGUAGAGGUGAAAUUCGUAGAUAUUCGCAAGAACACCAGUGGCGAAAGGCGGCUCACUGGCCCGAUACUGACGCUGAGGCACGAAAGCGUGGGGAGCAAACAGGG